GCGGUUCGAAGUCUUGAUCUCUUGUACAGGCGAGUUGAGGUAUGUGAAAACAGUCUUCUGUAGAAGCGCUCCUGGCCAAAAAACUCCUAUUUCUUUGAUAUCAAUUAUUUAAAACAUUGACUCUUUUAGGGGUUUGGGCUAAAAUCAUCCCUCAAGUAUAACCCAAACUUAGGGUACAUCCUUAUGGUAUAAUUAUGAACAAAAAACAUCCUUUAACUAUCCCAAACUUUGCAAUAAACAUCCUUAUGUUAAAAAACUAACAGCUAAAAUAAAUGCAUGUGCCAAGCACAUGACUUCCUCCCAAAUCCCCAUAUAUUGUACGAUUGAUUUCCUCCCAAAUCGUGCCCCUGAUCCUUAUGUAUACUUCUACCUAGUUCUCUAAGGCUCAUCUGUACUAUAGUAUGAUAAAUUGUAUAAAGUUCAUAGCUGUACCCAUUGGAGCGGAUUAUUUUUCUGCACAAAAACAUAAAAGAAGAGUCCCAACGUAUUGUGGCUAUUGUUUAUGAAGAUGAAGGAAUCCGUACAAUAUAUGGAGAUUUGGGAG
rnacentral:lncRNA from 1 species